GCCGCGAUAGCUCAACUGGCAGAGCAUCUGCCCGGUAUGCGGAGGGUCGUCGGUUCGAUUUCGGCCCGCGGCG
rnacentral:tRNA from 1 species